UAGAUUUAAAGAUGCUUUUUACUAAGAUCAUAUAUGUGUUGCUUUGCUAUCCAUGCUUAGAAUUACAACAUAUGCAUAGUCUAGGUUACUCUAGAUUGGUUACCCUUGCUCUAUCUAUUAUUUGUCUGUACAUGCUUAGUAGAUUGGAUCUGAAUCUCUCAUAAACACCAAGUUAAUACUAACAAUGCUAGUUGAAAUAGAUCUUGUGCUAUAAGUUCCACGGAUUGAUAAACCUUGGGGGAAUACUC
rnacentral:lncRNA from 1 species